rnacentral:rRNA from 1 species
AUGCAAGUCGAACGGUGACGAUGGAGCUUGCUCUGUCUGAUCAGUGGCGAACGGGUGAGUAACACGUGAGUAACCUGCCCCCGACUCUGGAAUAACCGUGGGAAACGACGGCUAAUACCGGAUAUGAGACGCACAGGCAUCUGUGGGUCUGGAAAGAUUUAUCGGUCAGGGAUGGACUCGCGGCCUAUCAGCUUGUUGGUGGGGUAAUGGCCUACCAAGGCGACGACGGGUAGCCGGCCUGAGAGGGCGACCGGCCACACUGGGACUGAGAUACGGCCCAGACUCCUACGGGAGGCAGCAGUGGGGAAUAUUGCACAAUGGGCGCAAGCCUGAUGCAGCGACGCCGCGUGAGGGAUGAAGGCCUUCGGGUUGUAAACCUCUUUCAGCAGGGAAGAAGCGAAAGUGACGGUACCUGCAGAAGAAGCGCCGGCUAACUACGUGCCAGCAGCCGCGGUAAUACGUAGGGCGCAAGCGUUGUCCGGAAUUAUUGGGCGUAAAGAGCUCGUAGGCGGUUUGUCGCGUCUGCUGUGAAAACCUGAGGCUCAACCUCGGGCUUGCAGUGGGUACGGGCAGACUAGAGUGCGGUAGGGGUGACUGGAAUUCCUGGUGUAGCGGUGGAAUGCGCAGAUAUCAGGAGGAACACCGAUGGCGAAGGCAGGUCACUGGGCCGCAACUGACGCUGAGGAGCGAAAGCAUGGGGAGCGAACAGGAUUAGAUACCCUGGUAGUCCAUGCCGUAAACGUUGGGCACUAGGUGUGGGGCUCAUUCCACGAGUUCCGUGCCGCAGCAAACGCAUUAAGUGCCCCGCCUGGGGAGUACGGCCGCAAGGCUAAAACUCAAAGAAAUUGACGGGGGCCCGCACAAGCGGCGGAGCAUGCGGAUUAAUUCGA